rnacentral:rRNA from 1 species
AAAGCUCUUUCGCCUGUGAAGAUAAUGACUGUAGCAGGUAAAGAAACCCCGGCUAACUCCGUGCCAGCAGCCGCGGUAAUACGGAGGGGGUUAGCGUUGUUCGGAAUUACUGGGCGUAAAGCGCGCGUAGGCGGAUUAGUCAGUCAGAGGUGAAAUCCCAGGGCUCAACCCUGGAACUGCCUUUGAUACUGCUAGUCUUGAGUUCGAGAGAGGUGAGUGGAAUUCCGAGUGUAGAGGUGAAAUUCGUAGAUAUUCGGAGGAACACCAGUGGCGAAGGCGGCUCACUGGCUCGAUACUGACGCUGAGGUGCGAAAGUGUGGGGAGCAAACAGGAUUAGAUACCCUGGUAGUCCACACCGUAAACGAUGAAUGCCAGUCGUCGGCAAGUAUACUUGUCGGUGACACACCUAACGGAUUAAGCAUUCCGCCUGGGG